rnacentral:rRNA from 1 species
GACGAACGCUGGCGGCGUGCUUAACACAUGCAAGUCGAACGGAAAGGCCCUGCUUUUGUGGGGUGCUCGAGUGGCGAACGGGUGAGUAACACGUGAGUAACCUGCCCUUGACUUUGGGAUAACUUCAGGAAACUGGGGCUAAUACCGGAUAGGAGCUCCUGCUGCAUGGUGGGGGUUGGAAAGUUUCGGCGGUUGGGGAUGGACUCGCGGCUUAUCAGCUUGUUGGUGGGGUAGUGGCUUACCAAGGCUUUGACGGGUAGCCGGCCUGAGAGGGUGACCGGCCACAGUGGGACUGAGAUACGGCCCAGACUCCUACGGGAGGCAGCAGUGGGGAAUAUUGCACAAUGGGCGGAAGCCUGAUGCAGCAACGCCGCGUGCGGGAUGACGGCCUUCGGGUUGUAAACCGCGUUCGCCUGUGACGAAGCGUGAGUGACGGUAAUGGGUAAAGAAGCACCGGCUAACUACGUG